rfam:Picea glauca, whole genome shotgun sequence.
GUGUCUCUUCGGAUACAUCCAAUAAAAUUGGAAUGAUACAGAGAAGAUUAGCAUGGCCCAUGCGCAAGGAUGAUAUGCACAAAUCGAGAAAUGGUCCAAAUUUGA